rnacentral:lncRNA from 1 species
CAGGCGAGUAGCACUGACCGUAGCAUCAACAUUGGGCACUCAGCAGGCAGCAGCAAGGUGAGUACUUCAAUUUCUGAUUUUAUCGGAUGUCCCCGAACAGAAGGGACUCAAUUUCUGAUUUCAUUGGAUGUCCCCGAACAGAAGGGACUCAAUUUCUGAUAUAUUUUUUUCAGUGAAAGAACGGAGAAUAAGAUUGAUGAGUGUGAUCUUUUUUUGUUAUUUACUUGUGAAUUUUUUGGAUUUGUAGGUUACAGAAAAUAAAGAACAAGUAUGGUGAUUAAAGCAUUUGUGUACCCAUUUCUUGCUUACAAGAAAAAUUAUAGAGUUAAACUGUAAUUGUUUUCUAUGUUCUUUCAGUGCAACUAAAUCAUUAGAUGUUGCCAAUAUUAAGAACAAUUUGUAAUUUUUUUGUCAUUAUUGUGAAUUUUCAUGUCUUGUAUUUCAGCUUCUGCAGGUGUUAUUUCAAGGUGUCACCAUGGCGAGAUCAUCUUUGCCGCUAACCAGGAACGUGAGAAUUGUUUCGAUGCUGAAAACUCUCAACUGAACAGUAUGAAGUUUGAUAUGCACUUGACGCUGGAUCAUUGCACUUCCCCCGUUGAGUUCAAAUAUGAUUCUGCUAACUCUAAUGCAGUGCCAGCAUGCAGAAGUUACAACAUCUAUGCUGUUGGAAUUCAGAAGUUCAGAGUUUCAGUUUCAUUUUAGCUUUUAAGGAUCAGACUUUGUCUGUUUCGGUUUCUGAAUAAAGUUACAAAUGAAUGUCUUGACAAUGUCGUUAAUCGCUUGUUAAGAUUUCAUACCCUGUUUUCCGUUUGACUUGUGAUCGAAUCAAUGCCAAUCUUCGCGUUCGUUCAGAUGGGACGCCUCUGAACAGAAUUUGUGAUCUCUGUUUGUUAUCAGUUUGGGUGAUUUAAACAGUUUUGGUUUCAGCUGUA